GCUUAUGUUAGCCUACUCUUAGCUUUAGGUUGUGUUGUAAAAGGGUCAUUUAUAAAGUCCAAGUUCUUUGGAAGAGUCCUUGGCGCUCUUUCAAAAUCUUUGCAACUUUAUUUGCUUUUCUUAUUUUAAUAUAGCUUAGACUGAUGAGUGUGUCUUGUUUUCCAAAGCUACAAGUCUCACUAUAGGAGUAGAAUUUGAUUAUCUUUGAAUUGUGUUUCGCUUAGGGGCGUAGGGAUUUUAGAGUCCGCUUAGAGUCCGCUUAGAGUCAGCC
rnacentral:lncRNA from 1 species